UCCUACGGGAGGCAGCAGUGAGGAAUAUUGCACAAUGGGGGAAACCCUGAUGCAGCAACGCCGCGUGAGGGACGAAGGCCUUCGGGUCGUAAACCUCUUUUCUGAGGGAAGAGUCAGGACGGUACCUCAGGAAUAAGUCUCGGCUAACUACGUGCCAGCAGCCGCGGUAAAACGUAGGAGGCGAGCGUUAUCCGGAUUUACUGGGCGUAAAGCGCACGCAGGCGGCUUCGUUAGUCGGAUGUGAAAGCUCCUGGCUUAACUGGGAGAGGCCAUUCGAUACUGCGAGGCUUGAGGUUGGGAGAGGGGUGCGGAAUUCCCGGUGUAGUGGUGGAAUGCGUAGAUAUCGGGAGGAACACCUGUGGCGAAGGCGGCACCCUGGCCCACACCUGACGCUGAGGUGCGAAAGCGUGGGUAGCAAACAGGAUUAGAUACCCUGGU
rnacentral:rRNA from 1 species